rnacentral:rRNA from 1 species
UACGUAGGAUGCAAGCGUUGUCCGGAGUUAUUGGGUGUAAAGCGCAUGUAGGCGGUUUGUUAAGUGUGGUGUGAAACCUCCGGGCUUAACCCGGAGUGGUCGCUGCAAACUGGCAGACUGGAGGGCUGGAGAGGAAGACGGAAUUCCCGGUGUAGUGGUGAAAUGCGUAGAUAUCGGGAGGAACACCAGUGGCGAAGGCGGGUCUCUGGACAGUUCCUGACGCUGAGGCACGAAGGUCAGGGGAGCAAACGGG